rnacentral:rRNA from 1 species
UACGGAGGGUGCAAGCGUUAUCCGGAUUUACUGGGUUUAAAGGGUGCGUAGGUGGGUCUGUAAGUCAGUGGUGAAAUCUCCGGGCUUAACCCGGAGACUGCCAUUGAUACUAUAGGUCUUGAAUAUCCUGGAGGUGAGCGGAAUAUGUCAUGUAGCGGUGAAAUGCUUAGAUAUGACAUAGAACACCAAUUGCGAAGGCAGCUCACUACGGGAUUAUUGACACUGAGGCACGAAAGCGUGGGGGAUCAAACAGG